rnacentral:rRNA from 1 species
UACGUAGGCAGCGAGCGUUGUUCGGAGUUACUGGGCGUAAAGAGUGCGUAGGCGGUGCUCCAAGUCUGGUGUGAAAUCUCCCGGCUUAACCGGGAGGGUGCGCCGGAAACUGGGGUGCUGGAGUGUGGGAGAGGUAAGCGGAAUUCCGGUGUAGCGGUGAAAUGCGUAGAUAUCGGGAGGAACACCUGCGGUGUAGACGGCUUACUGGACCAUAACUGACGCUGAGGCACGAAAAGCGUGGGUAGCAA